CAGAUAUUAGUUUAAUUAAAAUAUUAAUUUUGGGAAUUAAUGAUAAGGUUAUUUAUUCCUUUUAUCUGA
rnacentral:tRNA from 1 species